GUGCUUGCUUCGGCAGCACAUAUACUAAAAUUGUAAUGAUAAAGAGAAGAUCAGCAUGACCCCUGCACAAGGAUGACAUGCAAAUGCAUGAAACUUUCCAUAUUUUU
ensembl:snRNA U6 U6 spliceosomal RNA